UCCUUGGGGGCGUCCUCGCAGUGGGGGUGGGGGGCGGGCCCGAGGGAGCGUCCCUCUCGGAGACACCCUCCUCUCCUACCCGCCACGCGCUCUCCGCAGGCCUGUGGGACACAAUCCUCCCCCCACCUCCCUUUCUCGGCCUUCGCGAGUGUGGGCGCCUUGGGGUACUGGCGAGCCUCUCCAGUAUGUCAAGAUCAUAAUGAAUAUGGAUUACCACUCUGGAGAAUUCAACUGAUGAAGAACAGGGGUUGGCAAUCUUCCCGUUGGUGUAUUUUUGGUAAAUUGCUGACCCUGAUGUAGAAGGACUGAUGUUCUUCCAAUAGUCAAAGCUCCAUCAGCCUGAAUCCCUGAGUAAGAAUCACACAGAGCGGAGGCCUUGCUGACCUGGGAUGAACGUGUAGCAUAAAUGGGAAAUAAACCUUUGUUUUUCUAA